GGACCAGACUUUGAUCAUGGCUCAGGAUGAACGCUAGCUACAGGCUUAACACAUGCAAGUCGAGGGGCAGCAUUUCGCUAGCAAUAGUGAAGAUGGCGACCGGCGCACGGGUGAGUAACACGUAUCCAACCUGCCGAUAACUCGGGGAUAGCCUUUCGAAAGAAAGAUUAAUAUCCGAUGGUAUAUUAAAACCGCAUGGUUUUACUAUUAAAGAAUUUCGGUUAUCGAUGGGGAUGCGUUCCAUUAGUUUGUUGGCGGGGUAACGGCCCACCAAGACUACGAUGGAUAGGGGUUCUGAGAGGAAGGUCCCCCACAUUGGAACUGAGACACGGUCCAAACUCCUACGGGAGGCAGCAGUGA
rnacentral:rRNA from 1 species